rnacentral:rRNA from 1 species
UACGAAGGGGGCUAGCGUUGCUCGGAAUCACUGGGCGUAAAGCGCACGUAGGCGGCUUCUUAAGUCAGGGGUGAAAUCCUGGAGCUCAACUCCAGAACUGCCUUUGAUACUGAGGAGCUUGAGUCCGGGAGAAGUGAGUGGAACUGCGAGUGUAGAGGUGAAAUUCGUAGAUAUUCGCAAGAACACCAGUGGCGAAGGCGGCUCACUGGCCCGGUACUGACGCUGAGGUGCGAGAGCGUGGGGAGCAAACAGG